CAGUCGCCGCGGGAAUACGUAGGUGGCGAGCGUUGUCCGGAAUUGUUGGGCGUAAAGGGAGCGCAGGCGGACAUAUAAGUCCAUCUUAAAAGUGCGGGGCUCAACCCCGUGAGGGGAUGGAAACUACAUGUCUUGAGUACAGGAGAGGAAAGCGGAAUUCCCAGUGUAGCGGUGAAAUGCGUAGAUAUUGGGAGGAACACCAGUGGCGAAGGCGGCUUUCUGGACUGCAACUGACGCUGAGGCUCGAAAGCCAGGGGAGCGAACGGGAUUAGAUACCCCCGUAGUCCCUGUCUCUUAUACA
rnacentral:rRNA from 1 species